AUACGGAGGAUCCGAGCGUUAUCCGGAUUUAUUGGGUUUAAAGGGUGCGCAGGCGGCCAUUUAAGUCAGCGGUUAAAUCGUGGGGCUCAACCCCAUUCUGCCGUUGAUACUGGGUGGCUUGAUUGCGGUCGAGGUUGGCGGAAUUCGUUGUGAAGCGGUGAAAUGCAUAGAUAUGACGAAGAACACCGAUUGCGUAGGCAGCUGACCAGAUCGCAAAUGACGCUCAUGCACGAAAGUGCGGGGAUCGAACAGGAUUAGAUACCCUGGUAGUCCGCACAGUAAACGAUGAAUACUUGUUUUCGGCGAUAUAAUGUCGGAGGCAAAGCGAAAGCGAUAAGUAUUCCACCUGGGGAGUACGCCGGCAACGGUGAAACUCAAAUGAAUUGACGGGG
rnacentral:rRNA from 1 species